ACGGGAGGCAGCAGUGAGGAAUAUUGGUCAAUGGGCGGAAGCCUGAACCAGCCAAGUCGCGUGAAGGAUGAAGGUAUUAUGUAUUGUAAACUUCUUUAGACGCAGAGAAAUAAGGGCCUCGUGAGGCUUGAUGCUAGUAUGCGUAGAAUAAGGAUCGGCUAACUCCGUGCCAGCAGCCGCGGUAAUACGGAGGAUCCGAGCGUUAUCCGGAUUUAUUGGGUUUAAAGGGAGCGUAGGCGGCCUUUUAAGCGUGUUGUGAAAUGUCCCGGCUCAACCGUGGCACUGCAGCGCGAACUGGAGGGCUUGAGUGCGCAGGAAGUAGGCGGAAUUCGUCGUGUAGCGGUGAAAUGCUUAGAUAUGACGAAGAACUCCGAUUGCGAAGGCAGCUUACUGUAGCGUAACUGACGCUGAAGCUCGAAAGUGCGGGUAUCGAACAGGAUUAGAUACCCUGGUA
rnacentral:rRNA from 1 species